UACGGAAGGCAGCAGUGGGGAAUAUUGCACAAUGGGCGCAAGCCUGAUGCAGCCAUGCCGCGUGUAUGAAGAAGGCCUUCGGGUUGUAAAGUACUUUCAGUCGUGAGGAAGGUGUUAAGGUUAAUAACCUUAGCAAUUGACGUUAGCGACAGAAGAAGCACCGGCUAACUCCGUGCCAGCAGCCGCGGUAAUACGGAGGGUGCGAGCGUUAAUCGGAAUUACUGGGCGUAAAGGGCACGCAGGCGGUUAAUUAAGUUGGAUGUGAAUCCCCGGGCUUAACCUGGGAAUGGCAUUCAAGACUGGUUAGCUAGAGUCUUGUAGAGGGGGUAGAAUUCCAUGUGUAGCGGUGAAAUGCGUAGAGAUGUGGAGGAAUACCGGUGGCGAAGGCGGCCCCUGGACAAAGGCUGACGCUCAUGUGCGAAAGCGUGGGGAGCAAACAGGGAUUAGAUACC
rnacentral:rRNA from 1 species